CCUACGGGAGGCUGCAGUGGGGAAUAUUGGACAAUGGGCGAAAGCCUGAUCCAGCAAUACCGCGUGUGUGAAGAAGGCCUGAGGGUUGUAAAGCACUUUCAAUAGGAAGGAACACCUUGGGGUUAAUACCCUCAAGACUGACAUUACCUAUACAAGAAGCACCGGCUAACUCCGUGCCAGCAGCCGCGGUAAUACGGAGGGUGCAAGCGUUGAUCGGAAUUGCUCGGCGGCAGUCGUGCGUGGCCGGUGUGAAAGCCCCGGGCUUAACCUGGGAAUGGCAUUUGAUACUGGAAGACGUGAGUUUAAGAGAGGGGAGUGGAAUUUCAGGUGUAGCGGUGAAAUGCGUAGAGAUCUGAAGGAACACCAGUGGCGAAGGCGGCUCCCUGGCUUAAAACUGACGCUGAGGUACGAAAGCGUGGGUAGCAAACAGGAUUAGAUACCCCUGUAGUC
rnacentral:rRNA from 1 species